GACGAACGCUGGCGGCGUGCUUAACACAUGCAAGUCGAACGAAGUGGCGAACGGGUGAGUAACGCGGAAUCAACCUGCCCUUCAGCGGGGGACAACAGUUGGAAACGACUACUAAUACCGCAUACUGAGGGAGGGGAUUGCGUCUGAUGUGGUUGUUGGGGGGGUAACGGCCCACCAAGGCGAUGAUCAGUAGGCGGUCUGAGAGGAUGGUCGGGCACAUUGGGACUGGGACACGGGCCAGACUCCUACGGGAGGCAGCAGUGGGGAAUCUUCCGCAAUGGACGAAAGGCUGACGGAGGAACGCCGCGGGAGUGAUGACGGGCUUCGGGUUGUAAAGCUCUGUUAAUCGGGACGCAGUACCGGAAUAGAAAGCCACGGCUAACUACGUGCCAGCAGCCGCGGUAAUAC
rnacentral:rRNA from 1 species